AACUUUCAACAACGGAUCUCUUGGUUCUGGCAUCGAUGAAGAACGCAGCGAAAUGCGAUACGUAAUGUGAAUUGCAGAAUUCAGUGAAUCAUCGAAUCUUUGAACGCACAUUGCGCCCGCUGGUAUUCCAGCGGGCAUGCCUGUUCGAGCGUCAU
rnacentral:rRNA from 1 species